AGAGUUUGAUCCUGGCUCAGAACGAACGCUGGCGGCGCGCCUAAUACAUGCAAGUCGAGCGAGAAGGUGUAGCAAUACACUUGUAAAGCGGCGAACGGGUGAGGAAUGCAUGGGUAACCUACCCUCGAGUGGGGAAUAACUAGCCGAAAGGUUAGCUAAUACCGCAUACGUUUCCGGAACUUCGGUUUCGGAAAGAAAGCAAUACCGUGGGUAUUGCGCUCAUGGAUGGGCUCAUGUCCUAUCAGCUUGUUGGUGAGGUAACGGCUCACCAAGGCUUCGACGGGUAGCUGGUCUGAGAGGACGAUCAGCCACACUGGCACUGCGACACGGGCCAGACUCCUACGGGAGGCAGCAGUAAGGAAUAUUGCGCAAUGGACGAAAGUCUGACGCAGCGACGCCGCGUGGGGGAUGAAGGUCUUCGGAUUGUAAACCCCUUUCGGGAGGGAAGAUGGAGUGGGUAACCACUUGGACGGUACCUCCAGAAGCAGCCACGGCUAACUUCGUGCCAGCAGCCGCGGUAAUACGAAGGUGGCAAGCGUUGUUCGGAUUCACUGGGCGUACAGGGAGCGUAGGCGGUUGGGUAAGCCCUCCGUGAAAUCUCCGGGCCUAACCCGGAAAGUGCAGAGGGGACUGCUCAGCUAGAGGAUGGGAGAGGAGCGCGGAAUUCCCGGUGUAGCGGUGAAAUGCGUAGAGAUCGGGAGGAAGGCCGGUGGCGAAGGCGGCGCUC
rnacentral:rRNA from 1 species